rnacentral:rRNA from 1 species
AUUGAACGCUGGCGGCAUGCUUUACACAUGCAAGUCGAACGGCAGCGCGGGCUGCGGCCUGGCGGCGAGUGGCGAACGGGUGAGUAAUGCAUCGGAACGUGCCCAGUAGUGGGGGAUAGCCCGGCGAAAGCCGGAUUAAUACCGCAUACGACCUGAGGGUGAAAGCGGGGGACCGAAAGGCCUCGCGCUAUUGGAGCGGCCGAUGUCGGAUUAGCUAGUUGGUGGGGUAAAGGCUUACCAAGGCGACGAUCCGUAGCUGGUCUGAGAGGACGACCAGCCACACUGGGACUGAGACACGGCCCAGACUCCUACGGGAGGCAGCAGUGGGGAAUUUUGGACAAUGGGGGCAACCCUGAUCCAGCCAUGCCGCGUGCGGGAAGAAGGCCUUCGGGUUGUAAACCGCUUUUGUUCGGGAAGAAAUCCUCUGGGCUAAUACCCCGGGGGGAUGACGGUACCGGAAGAAUAAGCACUGGCUAACUACGUG